rnacentral:rRNA from 1 species
UCCAACUCAAACACAGUAACCACCUGCAGAUUGGGUAAUUCACCUGAAGCCAAGCAGGUGUGGUCCUGGCUAUACGUGGAUGGGAAGCCAGCUAGGAAGGCUGGGUUGCAGUUGGGA